UACGAAAGGUGCAAGCGUUACUCGGAAUCACUGGGCGUAAAGCGCACGUAGGCGGACUCGUAGGUCAAUUGUGAAAUACCUGGGCUCAACCCGGGAACUGCAGUUGAAACCGCUGGUCUUGAAUACCUGAGAGGGUGGGGGAAUACCUGGUGGAGAAGUGAAAUUCGUAGAGAUCAGGUGGAACACCGGAGGCGAAGGCGCCGUGCCUGGCAGUGUAUUGACGCUGAGGUGCGAAAGUGCGGGGAGCAAACAGG
rnacentral:rRNA from 1 species